GCGGGGUGACGGGCUGUGGCAGACAAUACUUCCCACGUCCCCACGCAGGCAGGCUCUGAGGGGAACUAGGGGGUGCCUGAGACAGGCUGGUCCCAGCUCCUGGGCCCUUGUGCUUCUCACAGGGGGGUGGGGCAUCUGUCUGGGGCACCCACAGAUCCCUAAACUCCAGGAAGGCUUGGGUGCCCUGGAUUUCCUGGGAGGGGCCCCCGGUAGACUUUGGCAGGGUUGGUGGACAACGAGGACCGGCAGGUUUGAGGCUGGCUCCCCACAGGGAUCUCGCCUGUCCCUCCCCUUCUGAUCCCCGCCCCCAGUCCUGAAACCAUCCCCAUCAUCACCCCUCUCAGAAUGGAGGGCUCUCGGGUGUGUGCUGGUCCAAGUCCUCAACUGACAUGGGGUGGGCACAUGCACCCCAUGCCGUGCAUGUGCGCACACAACACACACACACACCCACACCCCAGACUAAAAGCCAGGCCCUCCGUGGCUCGCCUGGCUCAGCCUGGCUCUUAGGAACCUGCCCACAUUCUCUGCAGGUGACUUGGCAGUGCAGCCGGAAAGUUCCGGGUUCUCAGGGAAGGCCCAGCCCUGCCUGGCAUCUUUACACUGGGCUGUUACCCUGUGGCCAUGGGCCUGGGAGGGGCCUGGCUCUGGGAGAGGCUAUGAGGUGGCCAGCAGAGGCAGGACAGCCUCCUGCCCAGAACCUAAGCCCAGUGCAGGGAGCUAUCCAAUAGCCAGGGUCCACACCCCUGGUAGUCACCACUGGAACACAAGGGGACCCAAGCUAAGGGACCAUACCCUCCCACGCUGCCCGGAAGGCCAUCUGCUGCAGGAGGCCGAGCCCCUUCUCACAAGGCCUGCAUCCUAGGACCUACCUGCCUUCCAGGCAGCCCACGAGGUCAGUGUCCCCUGGGGGACUGAGAUCCUCUCCCCUGAAGGGAUGCAUCACAGCCAAGGCCCCUGUGGCCAACAGAGGCCCAGGGAGCGGCUCAUACAGCAGGGUCUCCAUGAGCAGGUCCCUGGUGACGGGUCUUGCUUCCGACAUCUCUGGAGGACAGAAACAGAGCCUCAGUGUCACUGGACAGCUGCAGCUCAGGACAGGACACUUCUAGACAGGGCCUCACUGAAGUCACUAAAUUAUCCAAGCUGCGCUUGAAUUUGUGAUCCUUCUGCCUCUGCCUCCCACAGGUGGGUGCCACCAAGCCCAGCUUUUUCUUUUUCUUUUGGUACGGGGACCGAACUGAGGACCUUGUGCUCGCAAGGCAGGUGUGGCUCCACUGAGCUAAAUCCUCAGCCCAAGCCCAGCUUUUUCUUACAGGAGCGUGGGCUGGGACCCUCCUAGUGGUGAGGACCAGUGUCAGACCUUCCUGCCCCUGCAGGACUCCCUCCCUGACCCCUGACCCCCUGCCCUCCCUUUCAAUUGGCCAGAGCCGUCAUCCGGGCUGUGUGUCGUAGGGUGAGUCACCAAGCCUCUCUGUUCGACUCGUCCAUGUCUCAAGCGGGCACCUGAUGCACCAGGGCCCUCGAAUUUUUCCUUUGUGUGAAAUAAAAUCAGAGCAGCCAAACUGAGAAGCCCAGGUAUCUGCUGUCAGCAGAGGGGGCAAAAGCCAGCUCCCCAACCCCGGGAACAGCAAUACCUCAGCAUCAUGGAAAACAACACCUGUUUUGAUGUCUGUUAUUUCUUUGGAGCAAAAAAGGCAAAUAAGCAAAAUGGGAAGAGUCAUCCACAGCCCCAGCUCCCAGAGGGACCUGCUCAGCCUCUCCUCUGCACACAUCGCAGCUGCAUCUUCCAGGUCAGGCAUCCCCAAGACAUUCCUGGGGCCCUGCUAGCACAGCCCCUGUUCUUCCCGGGACCCUGCACGUGCACUGACCUGAGCUGAUCUCCACCUUCCUGUCCCCCAUCUGCCAGCAACCCUUGCAGCUCCCUGUUGGCCCCGUGACCCCACUUGGACAGUGAAGCCUCAGAAGCGGAGGUAGGGGCUGAAGGAAAGGGAGCAAGGCACCCAGGCCAGCUCAUCCUCCUUGCUGCCAUGAACACAGAAGUGAUGGCUGGAGCUGCAGCAGCCAGCUAAGGGUGCAGUCAGUGAAGUAAGGAAAGCCUGGGCCUGAUGGCACUGCUCAGCAGGAAAUCACUAAAUUACCCAGCCCAGGUUUAAAACUUGGGAACCUCUUGCCUCAGCCUCUGAGAGUUCUGAGACUACAGGUGUUCAUGACCACACUCAGCCCAACCCAUUAAGUUCUUAGUUACAUCCUGGAUCUUUUAAGUGAAUUCCUCCCAUCUGCCUACACUAGAGAUCCCAGAGAGCUCUCUACCCAAUGAUGUCCUUUGAUUUUUCUGUACAAAGAGCCCCUGGGGCAUGAAGACGCCCACCAUGAAGCCAAGAAGGAACAGAGGUCCACGCAUUCCCCACCCCAGACCAGAGUGGCCCGAUGUCCACCCCUGAAGUGGCUGCAGAAGCAAGGCCCAGGAAAGGGACCCAGGCUGGGACGCACACUCCCCCAGGUGACCUGGAGCUGACUCCAGGCAGUGCUGGGGAUGGAACCCAAGGCCCUGUGCAUGCUGGGCAAGGGCUCACCACUGAGCCGAAGCCACCUCUCGCCCCAGCACUUGGCACCGGUUUAAAAAAGCAGGAAGAUCGAGAUUGAGCUCCAAUGCAGAGGUGUCCAGCUGCACUUGGGACAGCUCGGGGACGAGAGGAGCCCCUGACGCUCAAACCCCCUUCCCACACCCAACUUGGCCUUCAGGGAGCCCGUGACACCAGACAGCAGCCACGAGGACCCUUUGGGCCACCAUACCACCUUCGGCCAGCAGUCCGGGCCCUCCGUCCCUUCUGCUGCCCUGUUGCUUGACAAGAAGGCUGGGAGAGGAGGGAGGGGACUCAGGAGCCAUUCUGUCUCUGGUCUCAUCUGCCACUUCAAGACACCAGCAUGAGGAGAAAUGCUCAAAAGUAAAGGAAAAGGGCUACCUACUCGGGACCCCUCCUGCCCUUCAGGGGCUUUCCUAUCAAUAAAUAUCUUCCUACUUAAAAAAAAAAAAGGAAAGGAAAAGAAUGAAAACCACAGCAAGCAGCCACCCUUCACCCAAACAGUGCAACAGAUACAAACGUUUAUGUAAAAAAAACUAAAGCGAACAUAAAAAGAACUAAAAUGUGUUAUACACAUGUACCAACUCCUCACCAUGACUGUAGUCAUUAUCUACUGCUAACGUGUACUAAUAAAAAAAAUUUUUUUAAGGGCCCGGGAUUUAGCUCAGCACCAGGCCUGUCUUGAAAGCGCAACGUCCCAAGUUUGAUCCCCAGUACCAGAAAAAAAUUUUUAAAUGGGGCCCAGGCAUAAUGGUGUACUCCUGUAAUCCUGGUUAUUUGG